UAAGUGUCUAAGUGAAGAUAUCACGAAAUCCAUGGGGACUGAAGCCAGAAAACAAUGAGAGGAAAGAAGCUUUGCAGGAGAAGACAGCACGGAGCACUAAAGGAAAACUCCACUCAGCCCACGCUGUACCAGGGAUGUUCCUGUUCUGUAGCUGAUCUAAGCCAUGGAUGGAUCCACAGAUGGAUUCCUCCACAUUACCUGAGGAAGACCAGGGUCACAAAGACAGAAGCACUGGGAUGUGACUCCAGAUGGGCUCUGCUUUGUGG